AGAUAAAAAGAAUCAUGUUUUUUCUUCUUUUCAACAACUGCAUCGAUAAAUUCUUUGUAAUUUUUAUUCUGUGAGAAUUUGGAACUUUGUCAAGGCAAUUCUCCCUUCUAUACCAAUAUUUCUUUUGAGAAUUUGGUAGUACAUCAAGACAGUUAUUCUGACUACGACCAAGUUGUAUUUUAUUUUGUGUCACCAGAAUUCUCCUAGAAGAAGCUAUGAUAAUUAAUUUAUUUAAUAAUUAAUUUAAUUAAUGAGAAUUCAGUGGGAUAUCAAGGCAAAUAUCUUUUUUCUUAGUGAUUGCUACUACUUAUCUUUUUCCUUGGUAGAUGCUGAGGUCAUGUACACAGAGAAUCUGCAAAUCAGAGAAUUUCUGGGUGCACUAGCAGCAGGGAUAGCUGGACAUCACUAACACAUGCUGUCAUCAUGGAGUCUUCUCAAGCUGUCACUGAUGAUGAAUUCUUAGCGGAACAUGCUGUCAAUUUUCUUCAACACAAAACUGCUCAAAAUGGGAAUUGUAUCACCUAACGUUUAAAAGGGCUGGUGCAGCUAUGGAGGCCUUAUGUGCCACAAGGCACAAAGAAGCUAAGUGAAGUGAAGUGAAGCAGCUAUGGAUGACAUACUGCGAAAGGCAUCUCAAUUCUGUUUUCUUUCUCUUGUGGCGUAUGGAAAGCCCUCAUUUCAUGUACACCAGGAUCAACAUGGUACUUGGACACCAGCAAAGAACGUUGAUGACAUAGAGCUUUCUCAGGUGGUCACUGGAUGAUCCUACCAAUUCGCUUAAACACAAAAUUGCUCAAGAGAGUGGAAUAUUGGUUGGUUGGGUCAUCUUCAUUGGUUGGUCUUGUGGUCUACUUAGAUACCUUAUCUGAACUGAGAGUCUUGGAUGAAGUCAGCUGAUCUGGGUUGAAGCUGAAUUAGCUUAGACCAUGAGUCGAUCUUUGGUUUGGGAGGACUGAACUGUACCAUGCUGUUCAGAAGGUCUUGGGAUGGUUGCUUGGUGAAGAGGAUUGAUUGGAGCACAACUGAUGCUCAGGAAAUGAACUGAAAAAUGAUAAGAAGAAAAGUUGAUCCAACGUUCUUUCUCACUGGAUGUUUAUCAGGGACAGUGUUACACUCUCAAGCUUUCAUGGAGCAUCCUGCUAAUUUGCUCAAACACAGAUCUGCUCAAGAUAGAGGACUUCCAGGUUAGACUUCAAUAUGAGGUUGAAAACCUCACCCCAUAAAUCGGGAAUGUCUCAAAGGGCAGCAACAAGAAGUGAGUGGCAAGUCAAAGACUAGAAAUAGAGUUUGAAAUAGUCUUGGAUGAAGUCAGGCUGAUCUGGGUAGAAGCUGAAUAAGCUUAGACCAUGAGUCGAUCUUUGGUUUGGGAGGACUGAACCAUACCAUGCUGUUCAGAAGGUCUUGGGAUGGCUGCUUGGUGAAGAGGAUUGAUUGGAGCACAACUGAUGCUCAGGAAAUGAACUGAAAAAUGAU